GUCUAUGGCCAUGCCACCCUCGACAAGCCCAAUCCCAUCUGAUCUCGGAAGCAGGGUCUGGCCUGGUUAGUACUUGGAUGGGAAACCACCUUGGAAUACCAGGUGCUGUAGGUG
rnacentral:rRNA from 1 species